rnacentral:rRNA from 1 species
UACAGAGGUCUCAAGCGUUGUUCGGAAUUACUGGGCGUAAAGCGCGUGUAGGCGGCCUGCUAAGUCUGAUGUGAAAGCCCGAGGCUCACCCUCGGAAGUGCAUUGGAAACUGGCAGACUGGAGUCCCGGAGAGGAGGGUGGAAUUCCUGGUGUAGCGGUGAAAUGCGUAGAUAUCAGGAGGAACACCGGUGGCGAAGGCGGCCCUCUGGACGGUGACUGACGCUGAGACGCGAAAGCGUGGGGAGCGAACAGG